UCAUCUCCGGGGGUAGAGCACUGUUUCGGCUAGGGGGCCAUCCCGGCUUACCAACCCGAUGCAAACUGCGAAUACCGGAGAAUGUUAUCACGGGAGACACACGGCGGGUGCUAACGUCCGUCGUGAAGAGGGAAACAACCCAGACCGCCAGCUAAGGUCCCAAAGUCAUGGUUAAGUGGGAAACGAUGUGGGAAGGCCCAGACAGCCAGGAUGUUGGCUUAGAAGCAGCCAUCAUUUAAAGAAAGCGUAAUAGCUCACUGGUCGAGUCGGCCUGCGCGGAAGAUGUAACGGGGCUAAACCAUGCACCGAAGCUGCGGCAGCGACGCUGAUGCGUUGUUGGGUAGGGGAGCGUUCUGUAAGCCUGCGAAGGUGGCCUGUGAGGGUUGCUGGAGGUAUCAGAAGUGCGAAUGCUGACAUAAGUAACGAUAAAGCGGGUGAAAAGCCCGCUCGCCGGAAGACCAAGGGUUCCUGUCCAACGUUAAUCGGGGCAGGGUGAGUCGACCCCUAAGGCGAGGCCGAAAGGCGUAGUCGAUGGGAAACGGGUUAAUAUUCCCGUACUUGGUGUUACUGCGAAGGGGGGACGGAGAAGGCUAUGUUGGCCGGGCGACGGUUGUCCCGGUUUAAGCGUGUAGGUGUGUGUUCCAGGUAAAUCCGGUUCACUUUAACACUGAGGCGUGAUGACGAGGCACUACGGUGCUGAAGCAACAAAUGCCCUGCUUCCAGGAAAAGCCUCUAAGCAUCAGGUAACAUCAAAUCGUACCCCAAACCGACACAGGUGGUCAGGUAGAGAAUACCAAGGCGCUUGAGAGAACUCGGGUGAAGGAACUAGGCAAAAUGGUGCCGUAACUUCGGGAGAAGGCACGCUGACACGUAGGUGAAGUGAUUUACUCAUGGAGCUGAAGUCAGUCGAAGAUACCAGCUGGCUGCAACUGUUUAUUAAAAACACAGCACUGUGCAAACACGAAAGUGGACGUAUACGGUGUGACGCCUGCCCGGUGCCGGAAGGUUAAUUGAUGGGGUCAGCGCAAGCGAAGCUCCUGAUCGAAGCCCCGGUAAACGGCGGCCGUAACUAUAACGGUCCUAAGGUAGCGAAAUUCCUUGUCGGGUAAGUUCCGACCUGCACGAAUGGCGUAAUGAUGGCCAGGCUGUCUCCACCCGAGACUCAGUGAAAUUGAACUCGCUGUGAAGAUGCAGUGUACCCGCGGCAAGACGGAAAGACCCCGUGAACCUUUACUAUAGCUUGACACUGAACAUUGAGCCUUGAUGUGUAGGAUAGGUGGGAGGCUUUGAAGUGUGGACGCCAGUCUGCAUGGAGCCGACCUUGAAAUACCACCCUUUAAUGUUUGAUGUUCUAACGUGGACCCGUGAUCCGGGUUGCGGACAGUGUCUGGUGGGUAGUUUGACUGGGGCGGUCUCCUCCUAAAGAGUAACGGAGGAGCACGAAGGUUGGCUAAUCCUGGUCGGACAUCAGGAGGUUAGUGCAAUGGCAUAAGCCAGCUUGACUGCGAGCGUGACGGCGCGAGCAGGUGCGAAAGCAGGUCAUAGUGAUCCGGUGGUUCUGAAUGGAAGGGCCAUCGCUCAACGGAUAAAAGGUACUCCGGGGAUAACAGGCUGAUACCGCCCAAGAGUUCAUAUCGACGGCGGUGUUUGGCACCUCGAUGUCGGCUCAUCACAUCCUGGGGCUGAAGUAGGUCCCAAGGGUAUGGCUGUUCGCCAUUUAAAGUGGUACGCGAGCUGGGUUUAGAACGUCGUGAGACAGUUCGGUCCCUAUCUGCCGUGGGCGCUGGAGAACUGAGGGGGGCUGCUCCUAGUACGAGAGGACCGGAGUGGACGCAUCACUGGUGUUCGGGUUGUCAUGCCAAUGGCACUGCCCGGUAGCUAAAUGCGGAAGAGAUAAGUGCUGAAAGCAUCUAAGCACGAAACUUGCCCCGAGAUGAGUUCUCCCUGAGACUUUAGGUCUCCUGAAGGAACGUUGAAGACGACGACGUUGAUAGGCCGGGUGUGUAAGCGCAGCGAUGCGUUGAGCUAACCGGUACUAAUGAACCGUGAGGCUUAACCUUACA
rnacentral:rRNA from 2 species